rnacentral:lncRNA from 1 species
UUUAGACAUGCACACAAAUAUUCUUCCUGGAGGGUACACGAUCAGUGUAGUAUUAGUAUCACAAAUGCGGCAACUUGAAAAUGAAGGAAUGUGAGUUCACGUGUACAAGGAGAGGGAGAGAGAGAGAGUGCAAGCUGUAAAUGGUGGCUGGCUACUUGAUUAAUAUUAUUCAGCACCAAAUGAGCUGAAUGUGCAUAGUGGACAGCGCAGACUCAGAGAUCCUACUGAGACACAUACAACAAAUAGUGGGGAUGAGUGGAAAAAGGAUCAAAUAGUUUUGUAGAUUAGAGUGAAAGAUUGAUUGAUACUCUUUUUCUAGCAAAACAAGGGAUGGGUUUCAGAAUUUAUAUACUCAAACUUUCCAACCCCGUACAGCUGAGACUAGACUCUAAUGAUAGUAGUCAACAGCAAGUUGGAUAGUGGUGCCAAAAGGAACCCCUUCAAAAGUUUUUAAUUUUUUUCCCUUCCUUCUUUUUGCUGUAGUGCCGUAUUUUAAAAAAAUGGUCUUGUGGAAAAUGUUUCCUCUAAAUUAUUUUACGGGAAGGCUGAUGAUUACCAACUAUCUUUUGUAGCUGAUGCGGUUCAAACCACUCUUGGAUAGAAGGGAAGGUAAUCGACCUAUCAAGACACCCGCCCACCCCUCGUGCUCCUUUGAGAGGUAAUAUAUAUCUCUACAUUUUCUUUUAGCUUCAAAAUUCUUGGUGGUU